AUACACAGCAACGAACAGAGAGGGAUGUAGCAGUUGCUCGGCUUGAACAAAGCAGGAUGUUACUAGCAAAGCGAUUGGCUGAACACCACGGCAAGAGCUACGGAGUUCUAGAUGAAACUCUUGCCUUCGUUGGGAGCAUUAAAACCUCCACAAAUUACGUUUACAACUCCUCUCCAAACACAGCCGGGGCAUACUCUUAUAUAUGUGUGUGUUUUAUUUAUGGUAUGUACAGUCAGUGGCGAAGCCGGUGCAUGAACAGAGUGGGCAUGCACAUCCGUAAUUUUAGAGCAAUAUUAUUAGUGGGAUGAAGAGUGAGAAAGAGAAUCCUUUGUUUUUUUUUUUUUUUUUUUUUUUGGUCGUUGGAGAGUAAAAGACAUUCCUUAAUUAGGGGUUUUUUCCUUCUUUUUCUUCUUCGGUUUUCACCCUCUUUAGAGAUUUCUCUAAAGAAUGUCUUAACGGACUCCCAAUGUUGCUCUUAGCCUCGAGACCAACGCGGAUGACACUUUUGGGCCUGUCAUUGAACGCCUCAGUAGAGAGAGCCCAAACAAAUUAACAAACUUGGAGAAACGCGUCGCUCGCACACUCGAUAAACAAACACGUGCAUAGUCCGUGCCGGAUAAACCGUUAUAGCAUUUCCGGGUCGGGUCGCGUUUCGGAAAAUCAAAAUCACCGGAGCGAUAGUUUCACUCAGUCCACAAUUAAAGUUUACCCGAAGAAGAAGAAGUCCUUUUUCCCUCUUUUUAUCUUUCUCUCUUUUUUUUUCUUUUGUAUGGUAAUGAAAUGGGAGAGAUGGAGAUGGAAGAAAUCGAAGCAGUUCUGGAGAAAAUCUGCGAUCUGCACGACAAGCUCAGCGACGAGAUUCACAUGAUUUCGCGCUCUCACUUCCUCAAAUCCGUUAAACCAGCAACCAGAUCGGAGAAGAGGAAGAGCCAGGGCAUCAACUCCGCCGAAGAGAAGCCACAGGAGGGAUACGUCUUCAUCAAGGGCUUCCCCGUUAACGAUAACGACGCCGCGAUUCAAGAGGCCAAGAGCCUUAACGCGAUUCGAACCGCGCUUGAGCACCUCGAAGACCAGCUCGAGUUCUUCCAUGUGAGUUUUGGAUUCGAUUCUAUUGGAUUCUCUGAUGUGCGCGAAAUUGAGAGAUUCGCUGGCCGAUUUCGAAUCUUUACUUUAGUUAGGCUUUAGGAAUAUGAAAUUAUUAUUAGCUUAAGUGCUGUUCGUUUGGUUGAAGCAGCUACCUGCGGCUGCGUCGGUGUCAAUUUUUUUAAUAAAUUCUUGUUCGUUUCAUUGAUGCCGUACUGCGUCUAAACGCUGCGUCUUCGUGUCGAUUGUCGAAAAAAUCUGCAUCUGCGAUUAAAACUGCGUCGGCGUCUACGAAACGAACAACAACUAUUUUCAUUAGCUCUGUUCUUUUCAUGGACGCAGCGUCGGCGACUGCGGCGAAAAAUUAACAAACAAGAAAAAGCAAUCUAAGUGCAGGGUCGUUAUACAUCUCCCGCCGGCGGCUGCCGCUACUCGUAUUUUCCGUGUUUCAUCAUCGCUGGAUUUAUCAGCGUCUCCUAAACAUACGUUGACGUGUAGCUCGCGUCAAUUAUUAACAUCCUUCAACUUUCUGUUUUAACUUGUUGCUGACGUGUCAUGUUUAAUCCUCUUAUAUUUUUGUGUCAUAGACGCGGACGCUGCGUCCAGUAAAAGAACAGAGCUAUUCACGCCGACGCCGAAAACUGCGGCAACCAAACGAACAUGACUUUAUUCUUUUUCUUUGCCAUUCAUAGAGGUUCUGUUCUGCUGGUCAGUUUCUUUAUGUUCGUUCAGUUUAUAACUUGAUCCUGACAUUUUUGAAAGAUAAUGUCUCAGACGAUACAUACACAGCAACGAACAGAGAGGGAUGUAGCAGUUGCUCGGCUUGAACAAAGCAGGAUGUUACUAGCAAAGCGAUUGGCUGAACACCACGGCAAGAGCUACGGAGUUCUAGAUGAAACUCUUGCCUUCGUUGGGAGCAUUAAAACCUCCACAAAUUACGUUUACAACUCCUCUCCAAACACAGCCGGGGCAUACUCUCAUGGACCAAAGUCCAACUUUGUAAUCAACGCCUUUGCGUGGACCUUCGGGUUGGCCAAAAGAGCACUUGGAUUCAACCAUGUGAGAGGCGUAC
rnacentral:lncRNA from 1 species